UACGUAGGGGGCUAGCGUUAUCCGGAAUUACUGGGCGUAAAGGGUGCGUAGGUGGUUUCUUAAGUCAGAGGUGAAAGGCUACGGCUCAACCGUAGUAAGCCCUUGAAACUGGGAAACUUGAGUGCAGGAGAGGAGAGUGGAAUUCCUAGUGUAGCGGUGAAAUGCGUAGGGAUUAGGAAGAACACCAGUGGCGAAGGCGAUUCUCUGGACUGUAACUGACGCUGAGGCUCGAAAGCGUGGGGAGCAAACAGG
rnacentral:rRNA from 1 species